rnacentral:lncRNA from 13 species
CGGUCGCGUCACGGCGAAAGGGCGGGCACUGGGAUUCUAGAGGGCGCGGAGGGUUUGCGAGUGGGGCGCGCCGGCUGCAGCUGCUGAGGCGGGGCUUGGUUGGGGUCGUCGCCUCCGUGCCUAGCCGCGACCAAGCCGCGAAAGAGGAUGGAGACAAAAGGUCCACGGCUGCACGCUCGUUGUCCGGCAAGAGGGACCUAUGCUCAGAGGCAGAAAAGGACGAUUAUAAAGGAAAACAGAAAAGCAAGUGGAGGUGAAAAAAGAAGAGACAAUUGUAAAGGAAUUGGUCAAGAUCAUAUGAGUCAAAGCCAGACCUCUCAGAGACCUUCCUUGGAAUUUUUCAAGUUGGAACAGGGAGAAAGGAGUAAGUCCUCUUUCUACCAGCUGCCUGCCUGCAAUUCCAUGCCUCAAAACCUGAUGAAUGUUUCAAGGAACAAGGCAGAGUGAAACAAUGGGAAGAAAGAGGGUAUCCAACGUCCCAACAUCCAGUCACCUGAGGCCAGCUUACCCAUGUUCCAUGGCCCAACACAAGCCCCUUUCUGCUUAAGCUUGUUUGAAUUGGGUUUCUGUCCAUUGUAAGCAAAAGAAAACUAACUAAUGCCUAUUGGGCUUAAUGCCUAGGUAUUGGGUUGAUAGUUGCAACAAACCGCUAUGGCACACAUUUACUUAUGUAACAAGCCUGUACAUCCUGCACAUGUACCCUGGAACUUAAAAUAAAAAUAACAGUUUAAAAAAAGAAAAAAGAGAA